rnacentral:rRNA from 1 species
GCGGCAAGCCUAACACAUGCAAGUCGAGCGGCAGCGGGAGAAAGCUUGCUUUCUUGCCGGCGAGCGGCGGACGGGUGAGUAAGGUAUGGGGAUCUGGCCGAAGGCGGGGGAUAACCACUGGAAACGGUGGCUAAUACUGCAUAAUCUCUAAGGAGCAAAGUGGGGGACCAUUUGGCCUCACACCUUCGGAUGAACCCAUAUGAGAUUAGCUAGUAGGUGGGAUAAAGGCUCACCUAGGCGACGAUCUCUAGCUGGUCUGAGAGGAUGAUCAGCCACACUGGGACUGAGACACGGCCCAGACUCCUACGGGAGGCAGCAGUGGGGAAUAUUGCACAAUGGGCGCAAGCCUGAUGCAGCCAUGCCGCGUGUAUGAAGAAGGCCUUCGGGUUGUAAAGUACUUUCAGUCGUGAGGAAGGUGUUAAGGUUAAUAGUCUUAGCAAUUGACGUUAGCGACAGAAGAAGCACCGGCUAACUCCGUGCCAGCAGCCGCGGUAAUACGGAGGGUGCGAGCGUUAAUCGGAAUUACUGGGCGUAAAGGGCACGCAGGCGGUUAAUUAAGUUGGAUGUGAAAUCCCCGGGCUUAACCUGGGAAUGGCAUUCAAGACUGGUUAGCUAGAGUCUUGUAGAGGGGGGUAGAAUUCCAUGUGUAGCGGUGAAAUGCGUAGAGAUGUGGAGGAAUACCGGUGGCGAAGGCGGCCCCCUGGACAAAGACUGACGCUCAUGUGCGAAAGCGUGGGGAGCAAACAGGAUUAGAUACCCUGGUAGUCCACGCUGUAAACGAUGUCGAUUUGGAGGUUGUGGUCCUGAACUGUGGCCUCCGGAGCUAACGCGUUAAAUCGACCGCCUGGGGAGUACGGCCGCAAGGUUAAAACUCAAAUGAAUUGACGGGGGCCCGCACAAGCGGUGGAGCAUGUGGUUUAAUUCGAUGCAACGCGAAGAACCUUACCUACUCUUGACAUCCAGCGAAGCCUUUAGAGAUAGAGGCGUGCCUUCGGGAGCGCUGAGANCAGGUGCUGCAUGGCUGUCGUCAGCUCGUGUUGAGAAAUGUUGGGUUAAGAAG